ACGAAAUUGAAGUUUGCUGUGAUGGAAAAACAAAACCAAAACCAAAACCAGAACAAGAUCAAAUUACAAAAUAUGUAUAAAAACAUAGCAGACGAAAUUGUGUUAAGACUCGAGGCAAGAGAAUUUAUUGCUCAAGAAACUGCGUCUAAAUAUUUUUAAGCAUAAGAAGAAUGCAUUUUAUAUGUGUGUGAGUUGUGAGUGUAGAUGUCUGUGUGUGUGUGUGUGUGUGUGUGUGUGUGUGUGUGUGUGUGUAGAAAUAACCAGAGACAGACCCUGAAGCUCAUUGUGUUGCCGCUCUUUUGUGCUGUCAAAGUGCAACAAUUUGAACGCUUCAAUAAAGAAAUUCCGCGGAUAAAUGUGAUGUGAUAUUCCUUAAUUAUAUUCCAGCACAGCACAGCACAACACACAUUUCAAUGUCAAAUGGAAAUUAAUCGAGAAGCCCACACACACGAUGCAAAAAAGAGUGUACCAAGUGUGGUAAUAAUAUUAUUAUUGCUAAUUGAAUGAAGCGAGUAUGCAGAUUGAAUGAACAGAACACUUUCAGACAAUAAAAUGUCGAGCCAGAAAAAAUCGGCGUCAUUGAAAUGCAAAUUGAAUAGAAUUUCGCUCAACUCGAACACACAAAAAAGAUAGAGUAAAGAGAUUUGAAGUGAAAUUGGUUGGGACAAAAUAAUAUGUGCUGCAUUUAGGUGGCCAACUUUCUGCUUCCUUUCUGCAUUGGGCAAGUUUAAUUGGAUGCGACGCCUGCCAUGACAUUGUACUCACAUACAUGCUAGUCCACUCUAUUGUUUGGCCAUGUAUUAUGAACGGAUUGUGUUGUGUGUACAGAUGUGUGUGCGAAUGGGUGUGCCAACUCUUUGCAAACUUUGUGCGAGCGGCAAGCACAUUGACGAUGCGAAUGGGCAAAGUUUGCUAAGCGUUAACUUAUUUUUGCUUGACAUGCUUUUGGUUGUUGUUCUUUUCAUUAUGCCACAUUGGAAACACACACACACACACACACACACACACACACACACACACAGACAAGCAGAAACAAAGCAAACAAGGAUACAAACGCAUGGGAAUUGAAAUUUGUGUAUGGCAAUUAAAAUAUCUGCUUUAUUUCUCUCUCUCUCUCUCUUUCUUUCUUUCUUUCUCUUUCUCUUCCUCUCUUACUGCUUAUUGCUGCUGGCCCUGUACAUGCACACACACACACACACACACACACACACACACACACACGAACACCCAUACUGAAGCACACGCAUUGAUGCAGAAAUUUGCAUAAAAACCAAAUGAUAUGCGACAAAACGAGAAAAUGCCACGCGAUUCUAACAAAUAGACAGACAGAAAACUAUCAAAGAGAAAAACUAAAACACAUAGUAGCCAUGUGCCCAAUGUCCAUAAAUAUGCAAUUAUGGCCUAGAGUGUGGAAGUGUUUAUGCAGCAGCAGCAGCAGCGGCCCAGCCAGAACACAACAACAGCAACAGCAACAGCAACAGCUCAAACACUCAAUAAACCCAACCAAACACGCACUGCUUGCAAGCAGUUCUUCUUUUACUGCAAGUAAAUGCGCGCCACGAAAGCAGUUUCUGAUGGCCACCGGCGCAAGCAGUUCCGUUCAAAUUUGUUGAAGAAUGGCAAUGGCAAUACAUGCACUUGUAAGUACUCCCCUGCAAGCAGCCCAAUCCCAAGAAAUGACCCAUUGAAAAUUGAUACAUGUAAAUGUCUAUGGCAUACCAAACGAAAGCUUUAUACAAUGAAAACUAAAACUAAAACUAAAACUAAACCUAAAACCACACUCUUAAUGAUUAAAAGAGAAAGAUGAAGUUUGAUUGAAAGAUAAACUAUAUUUAUACGGAGGAGAAGCCCAAAAACAAAAUACUGCAACUAUCAAAGAGAAAUAUAUACGAUACGAGUAGAUACAUAAAUGAAUUUCGACAUCAUUUAAACGUAAUUGGAACCAUUUUGACUUGCUACUUAAAAUACAAUAACAAAAAUGAAUUCCAUUGUAUGUGUAGAUAAUUAAAUGUGAACUUUGUGCUGUCUAAAUCAAAAUAAUGGUAAAGAAAAACCCCGCAGUAUAUUGUUGAAUGCAUUCCGAUUCCAAAUUAGAGGGAUCAGAGUUGAGCGAUGAUGAAUGAAUGAAUAAUGUCUUCUAGCCUGCCAGUACACACAUGUGUGUGUGCGUCAGAGAGAGAGAGAGAGAGAGAGAGAGAGAGUAUUGGAAGCUGAAAGAAAAUCAAAUAAAAAUUAGAAAUCUUUGAAUCACAAAUUGGACCAUAACAGCAAACAGCAGCUGAAACUAAAACAAAAGCAAAAGCAAAAGCAAAAGCAUAAAGGAGUAGCAUUAGCCGACAUCCGUGUACAUAUAAAUGUACAUGUUUACAUCCACGCACAUGUGUAGUGUGGACAUGUAAUCCGAACAAGUAUUUAUCAAGUGAAUUGGUGUGUAAAUGUAACUUUUUGUAGCUAGAUAUAAUGCACACACAAGAGCAGCAGCAGGCACGAGACGAAGAAGAAAACUACUAGAAAUAGAAGAGGAAAAGUGUUUAAAUUAAAUUCGAAUUCGAAUUCGAAUUGUACAUAGUAUGCAAUAAAUGUAAAUGGAAAAUGGUUUUCAUUUGCUUGCAGCUCGCAGUUAAACCUACUAAAGAAUCCUUCUCUAUAUUAACUCUAACUCAAAGUAAUUGUUGCAUUUUAAAACCCCCUAUAUUUACAAUACAAACACACAAAGCUGUGUACUUAGCUGUAGUCUUCCAGGAGUAAACGUGACAGCAAACACCGACGAAACUCUAUUCCACGUAGAUACAAAAACCUGUAGCAAAAUUGUACCUUAGCUGAAACACCUCGAAAGCUUUCCAAACUAAAACCAAAACCAACACUAAGCCCACAACUACACUGGACUAAAAACCUAAACCAAAUGAAAAAAACCAACCGGAAUACAAAUUGUAAAACAAUAGCGAAAAUUGCUGUCAAAAUCAAAGAGUUCAAUAUCAUAAUGGGAUAUACAUAAGUAUAUGCGACAAACUAUAUUAUUUUUAGAUAAAUGUUAUCAAUGGAGUAUUAAGCAAAACGAACUUCUAGCAAACUCCACCCCCAAGCCACAUUCGAUUCCCCGAAUCCCAUGGUUCUUCAAUGUAAAUUCCUUCAACCAUUGGUUUCCUACUACAUACAUAUGUAAGCUACCAGCGGGGUCCGAUCUGAUCUGAUGCACGACAAUAUAGAACCCGACAACCCGACAAACCUAUCGCAAAACGAUACUCACCCACGUACCCAGUACCCAGUGCCCCCACGUUCAAAGUCCGAACCCACCCCAAAACGAAGCCCCGUCUAAGCCCAGCCUGAUUUCGAUGGAAGUGAUCUCUCCCCCCCCCCCCCUCUUUCAAUCUAUAUAUUUAUCUAGCUUUCAAUAUUUUUCUGUGUUAGAUUAGCAAACAAACAAAAACUUCAAUGCUAAACACAAAAAUAAUGUGUCAAAUUUUCAACAAAAAAGAAAAAACCAAAACAAAAUAUGUUAAUAUGGAGAGAUAUAAUUGGAGGAUUGCCAACCAAGUUGCAAGUAUUUUCCAGGCCUAAGCCUUAAAAGUGUAAACCAAGAAACUUGAAUUAGACGCCUCCGUAGCGAGAAUGAAGGAAAUAUGUAAUCGUUAUUGUAUAGAGAAAAGCUCCUUGGAGGGCGCGCGUGUCUUUUUUUCUUAAUUUAUAAGCUGUUAAAAUCAAAUUUUACUAAACCAAAUUAAGUAUUGAACAAAGCCAAGAAAGUCAUUUAAACGGAGCAUAAACGAAAGCGUAGAAGAACAAUUAUGUGUGUCUGUGUGUACCAAAUGCAACAAACAAACAAACAAACAAACAAACAAACAAACAAAGAAAAAAGCAAAACCAAAUAUCUCGUUUUAGAGAAAAUACUUGAUUUCUUCAGUUGUUGCUGUAAAAAACCUGUAUGUUGUAUUUAAGACACAAGAACAGAGAAACUACAUGUCAUACCGUAGCAUAGAGCUAAGGAAACAGUUUAAAAUUAGCGAUAGACGAACAUUUGAGCCCCACAGCUCUGACUUGUCCAAGAGCGGGGGCCAGAGUGCAGCUCAGCUCAGCUAUUCAAAUUCGAAUUGUUAUCAGACGAGCAAAAGCAAGAGCAAAACGAGAGGCAAGAGUUACACAAAUGUUUAUGGGUGCCGAAGUCUUUGUUCGCUGCCCAAAGUUAUCUUCAAGCAACCAGACAGCUUCUGUUUGACCAGAGCGAAACGAAGAGAUUUGCGUUACAACAAAAAGAACACGUUACAAACACAAUUACAAAUUGAACAUUGAAAAUUGAUAGUCGAUAAUUACGAUAAUAUGUACAUCCUAGUUGUAAACAUAGCUGAUCUUUUUGGUGUAAAUUUUAAAUGAGAAAACCAAACAGAACAACUCUCCAUGCAAUAAAAAACACAAACGAACAAACUAAAUGUUUCAAAACCAAAACCAAAACCCAAAACCCAAAACCCAAAACAAACCGGAAACAAAAAAUGUUUAAAUGCAAACAGCAUGAACCAAAAAAAUACGACGGACAAAACUUAAUUAAAUGAAAACAAAUAUUUUUUUUGUGAAGUUAAAAUGUG
rnacentral:lncRNA from 1 species